AUCCAUUUCCUGUUCAGGAGCCUCUGGCUCCGCCAGGUACUACGCACAUGAGCAAUAAAGAAAACCUGGCUCUCACGAACAGCCUGACUGUGUCAGAAGGAUCACCUGUUCCCAUAAUUAUCUGCCUGUGCACCGAGAUCAUCAUUGGAGGCCAUUCUCUGUGUGACCAUGGAAGCUGAGAUAUGAACCUUUUGGGUGUUGAGAUCGGCAGAGAGGCCCUUUUGGUAGUUCCACCACCCCUGGAAGCUUGGGUGGUGGUGGCCCAGGACAGGGCAUUCUCUGUGGCAGCCCCUAAGCUGUGGAACUCCCUCCCCAGCAACGUGCAUCUGGCAACCUCAUUGUACAACUUUAGGUGAAUGCUGAAGAUGCACCUCCUUACCCUCCCUUUGACACCUGAGAUGUGUAUUUUUACGAACUACUCUAUCUUGUGAUUCUGGUUGUUUUUAUUACUGUAUUUUAAGGUUGCUGUAAUCCUCCCUGGGACCUCUAGGUGAAGGGUGGGCAAUAUAUGCUAUUAAUAACGCCGCCACCAACAAUAACAACAGGUCAGGCCGUUUAAACAGCCAGCUGCUACAUACAAAACUACCUCAUGAUGACAUCACCUCAAAAAGGACACCGAAAUCCAGCCAUGAAGGGCAUUUACUUAUUCUUUAAAAUGUCACAGGCCCGCCCCGUAGCACAGCAGUUAUUCUUAUCUAGCAGCUCUACCAUUUUUUAAAAAAAGUUUGAAAAAAGAGAAAAAAAGUGAAAAUAAAUAAAGGAAGACUGGAGCAUGAUCUGAAGACAAAAGGAAGCAGUUCAACUGCUGAAGUUUAGCCCUGACCAUCUUGGGGGGAAAUGGAAAGAAGCUGCUCUGAGCAACACAGAAGAAAUGCAGGGUAGUUCUAAACGGCAAUUAUAAUUUUAUAAAUAAUUACAAAUAAAGCUUACUGUUUGAUCUCUAAGUUUAUC